UAACCUGCCCAAGAGAUCGGGAUAACACCUGGAAACAGAUGCUAAUACCGGAUAACAACAGAUGAUGCCUAUCAACUGUUUAAAAGAUGGUUCUGCUAUCACUCUUGGAUGGACCUGCGGUGCAUUAGCUAGUUGGUAGGGUAACGGCCUACCAAGGCGAUGAUGCAUAGCCGAGUUGAGAGACUGAUCGGCCACAUUGGGACUGAGACACGGCACAAACUCCUACGGGAGGCAGCAGCC
rnacentral:rRNA from 1 species